UUAGCAAUACUAAAAUUCAUAUGCACUCCCAUGUUCAUAGCAACAUGAUUUACAAUAGCGAAGACAUGGAAAUAAUCUAAGUGUCCAUUGAUGGAUGGAUGGAUAAAGAAAUU